CGGGGAGUAGCGCAGCCUGGUAGCGCACCUGUCUUGGGCACAGGGGGUCGCAGGUUCGAAUCCUGUCUCCCCGACCA
rnacentral:tRNA from 2 species